rnacentral:rRNA from 1 species
CAGCCGCCGCGGUAAUACGAAGGGGGCUAGCGUUGUUCGGAAUUACUGGGCGUAAAGCGCACGUAGGCGGAUAUUUAAGUCAGGGGUGAAAUCCCAGGGCUCAACUCUGGAACUGCCUUUGAUACUGGGUAUCUUGAGUAUGGAAGAGGUGAGUGGAAUUCCGAGUGUAGAGGUGGAAUUCGUAGAUAUUCGGAGGAACACCAGUGGCGAAGGCGGCUCACUGGUCCAUUACUGACGCUGAGGUGCGAAAGCGUGGGGAGCAAACAGGAUUAGAUACCCGAGUAGUCCCUGUCUCUUAUAC